GUCUAAUGGCCACGGCCAUCGAUUGAGGACAUAGCUAAUUCAGCUCGGGCAAGGAAGAAAACAGGACAUUUGAUGAGACGCGCUCAUUGAUCCUGGUUUACUGCGGAUUUCAGCUUCCGUCUAGAUCAUCCCUGGGACCUACUAGUAUUUUUAAUCUUUUUUUUUUGGCGUUGGGGGUUGAAGGAGGGGAGGGUUUGUGAUAGGGGUAGUAGCGAUGGGAUAUGGCGUAGGGAUGCAGCUAUCACAGAGAUGAAAUGAUGGAGAAGAACUGGACACGGAGACAAGUCACAAGAAAGACCAGCAUGAGGAUCUCUGGUGGCGGUCUCAUAAGCUGACCAGCACGAAGAGGACUAUAAAUAAAAGUCAUUUAAGGAGGAUGUCCGGCCGUCUUAUACAUUUCAGGACCAAAAUGUAAACAUUUCUUGAACUGGCUUUUUCAUGUCAAAUUCUGACCAAAACUGUUGCCAAAAGUUGUCAAAAGAUAAAAAGCAAUAAACAUGAG
rnacentral:sRNA from 1 species